UUUUCUUUUCUUCUAUGUGAAGACCUUUUUUUCUUUUUGUUUUGAUUGGCCAAAAGAUGUUCAAUCAUUCCUUUGAACUCACUAAUGUCUUUGUCCCUUUGUUGGAACUUUUGUUCAAAUUCUUCUCUUAGUUGUGAGCCCUCACUACUAAAUUUCAUACUCCCUUGGACACUUGAUUGACUCAUUCUUGUCAAGUAGGAAAAAG
rnacentral:lncRNA from 1 species